rnacentral:rRNA from 1 species
UACGGAAGGUCCGGGCGUUAUCCGGAUUUAUUGGGUUUAAAGGGAGCGCAGGCGGAGGAUUAAGCGUGCUGUGAAAUGUCCCGGCUCAACCGGGGAGUUGCAGCGCGAACUGGUUCUCUUGAGUGAGUGCGAGGAAGCCGGAAUUCGUGGUGUAGCGGUGAAAUGCUUAGAUAUCACGAAGAACUCCGAUUGCGAAGGCAGGCUUCCAGUCCUUAACUGACGCUAAAGCUCGAAAGUGCGGGUAU